rnacentral:rRNA from 1 species
CCUACGGGAGGCAGCAGUGGGGAAUCUUGGACAAUGGGGGCAACCCUGAUCCAGCCAUGCCGCGUGAGUGAUGAAGGCCUUAGGGUCGUAAAGCUCUUUCGCCUGUGAAGAUAAUGACGGUAGCAGGUAAAGAAACCCCGGCUAACUCCGUGCCAGCAGCCGCGGUAAUACGGAGGGGGUUAGCGUUGUUCGGAAUUACUGGGCGUAAAGCGCACAUAGGCGGAUCGGAAAGUUGGGGGUGAAAUCCCGGGGCUCAACCCCGGAACUGCCUCCAAAACUAUCGGUCUAGAGUUCGAGAGAGGUGAGUGGAAUUCCGAGUGUAGAGGUGAAAUUCGUAGAUAUUCGGUGGAACACCAGUGGCGAAGGCGGCUCACUGGCUCGAUACUGACGCUGAGGUGCGAAAGUGUGGGGAGCAAACAGGAUUAGAUACCCUGGUAGUCCACACCGUAAACGAUGAAUGCCAGUCGUCGGGUAGCAUGCUAUUCGGUGACACACCUAACGGAUUAAGCAUUCCGCCUGGGGAGUACGGUCGCAAGAUUAAAACUCAAAGGAAUUGACGGGG